AGAUCAGUUCAUCAGAAGAGACCAGAAGCAGAGUCCAGCUGUGUGUCUGUGAAGAGUGACAGGUCUAUGGAUCAGCCAAUGAAGUUUAAGAGUGGAGAUACACAGAUUGAUCUCAGUUCAGUUCAUCAGAAGAGACCAGAAGCAGAGUCUAGAUGUGUGUCUGUGAAGAGUGACGCGUCUAUGGUUUGUCGAGAACAAUUCAAGAGUAGAGAUACACAGCCUGAUCUCAGCAAUGAAGUCCUCAACAUGUUUAGAUUAAAUCUGCUGAAGAAGUUUGCAUGUCUAUAUGAGGGAACAGCGACACAGAGAAACCCAACACU